AGCAAUACAUGGCGUACUGCUCAGUAACACGUGGACAACCUACCCUCCGGACGGGUAUAAACCCGGGAAACUGGGUAUAAUCCCCGAUAGAUCUCGGUCGCUGGAAUGCCCCGAGAUCGAAAGCUCCGGCGCCAGAGGAUGGGUCUGCGGCCUAUCAGGUAGUAGUGGGUGUAGCGUACCUACUAGCCUACGACGGGUACGGGUUGUGAGAGCAAGGGCCCGGAGAUGGAUUCUGAGACACGAAUCCAGGCCCUACGGGGUGCAGCAGGCGCGAAAACUUUACAAUGCCGGCAACGGCGAUAAGGGGACCUCGAGUGCCAGGUUACAAAUCUGGCUGUCGUGAUGCCUAAAAAGCAUUGCAUAGCAAGGGCCGGGCAAGACCGGUGCCAGCCGCCGCGGUAACACCGGCGGCUCGAGUGGUAACCGUUAUUAUUGGGUCUAAAGGGUCUGUAGCCGGCCGGAUAAGUCUCUUGAGAAAUCCAGCAGCUCA
rnacentral:rRNA from 1 species